rnacentral:lncRNA from 1 species
UCCGAUGCCUUUGAUGUUCACAUCUUCUGGUAGUCCUGUCGCAGAUGACUUUCUCCCUUCUCAUUCAGCCCCUUUCUCUAAAUCUAAUUAAUUUGAUUUCAAUGUGGUAGGACGAGAGUCAUCUGUGACAGGAUAAUGGAAGAUCUAGUUAUCAAAGGCUUAUUGGGGCGUUCUUUUUUUCAUGUCGAAUUUGUAGGAAAUUCUCCAACUUUUGCAGAGUAGUAUUGCAAAACCGAAGUAGCAGCACAGGUAGAUAUUUCGUUACUAUUAGCUAUUGGAUUGAGUAUUAUUUGCUUCCACUUUAAGCCUAUGCUGUAGAAUUUGAUGUUAGGUUAACACAAGUUCCUAUUUGCUUGUGAGUGCUGUUGAGAUUUGUCGGUAAAAACAGUACUUUUUGUUUAAUCAAUAUUAAGAAGAUGUGGUAUGUGGGAGAUGUGUUGGACACCAAUUUAAGGGAGAAAAUGGAAACAUAUAGCAGUGUUCAACUUUGUGCAGGCCUAGAUGUGUUAAAAGUUUCAGCAGUUAUGUGGUUUGUCCAUAGUCUUUGUUUUUUUAAAGAUCUACUAUUCUUUGCAUUUGAGGUAUAUGCUAACAAUUUUGGG